CACUCAUCAAAGUUCUGCAGUACACUGAUCAGGUGUAGCUAAGUUUUCAACUAAAACGCCAAUUCCUUUUAUAUUUAAAUGAACUACAAACAGACUUCUUUAUCUGUUUGUCAUUACACUGCUAACCUUCUAAAUAUCUGCAAUGAUAAAAGGUGAUAGAAGUCUAUAGGGUAUUAACACAAAUUUCUUGAAAGGGAAAAACUUAAAAAAUAAAGUGUAAUAUUGUAGAAGUGAUUCUAAAGAGUCAUUUUUACAAACUAUCUGUUAUUUUUACCUACUAUGUAGCCCAGUGACUAAAUAUUAAAUGCAGCCAUAUUAACAUUGUAUAAGUUAUAUUUGGUCUCAUGAGUCCAUGCUGAAUAAACAGGGCUGGUUUUAUAAAUAGUUUCUCUAACGAGCAUUUAUUUCUAAACUUAAGAAAGAAACAAAGAGAGGUGGGGCAUGGUGGCUCAUGUCUAUAAUCUCAGCACUUUGGCUUUUUUUUUUUUUCGAGAUGGGGUCUCCCUCUGUCACCCAGGCUGGAAUGCAAUGGUGCGAUCUCGGUUCACUGCAACCUCUGCCUCCCGGGUUCAAGCUAUUCUCCUGCUUCGGCCUCCCAACUAGCUGGGAUUACAGGCAUGUGCUACCACGCCUGGCUAAUUUUUGUAUUUUUAGUAGAGAUGGGGUUUCACCAUGUUGGCCAGGCUGGUCUCGAACUCCUGACCUCGUGAUCCACCUGCCUCGGCCUCCCAAAGUGUGGGGAUUACAGGCGUGAGCCACUGAAUCUCAGCACUUUGGAAGGCCGAGGCAGGAAGAUUGCUUGAGCCCAGGAGUUUGAGACUAGUCUGGACAAGAUGGAGACCCCCCAUCUUUACAAAUUAAUUAGUUACCUAAUUUAAUUAAACAUUUUUUUAAAAAGGAACAGAGCAAACACUGGUGACCAGUGAUUUGUAUUCAUGGCUGGUGCAGACAUAUAGUAGUUAAUAUCCUGAUUAUCAGUAUUUCGCUUGAAACAGCUUGUACACUGUCUGCCAUGUGAAUAAGAGAAUGGAGGUCAGUGUUUCCGGAACACAUUUCAGGGUAAGUAAUUAGAGAACUAGCUUACAAAAACCAGAGAAACUGCCCAGUCUCCCCACCCUAACCCUGCUCAACUCCUUCCUGCAAGCCACUUCCGGGCCAGCUUCCUUUUGCUCUCAGCAAACAGGUGAAACUGAGCUCCCGUUCUCAAGCUUUCCCUGCAGCAGAGCCAGAGGACUUUCCAGAAGGACUUUGCUACUAAAUAUAUCACAAACUUAAAAAAUUAAUGCACAACAUUGUACCUAUAGUCAACAAUAGUGUAUUGUAUACUUAAAAAUGUGUUGAGAGGGUAGAGUUCAUGCUAAGUGUUCUUACCACAAUCAAAUAAAAAAGAAAAAGAAAUGCAAUGGGUAUUAUUAACUGUCCAUAGAGGAUGCCUAUCUUCUCUCCUGUACCCCCUCCUCCCUGCCAAUAAAGCAAGGAUUGGGCGGAGUGCCCACUGCUGGUGUAGCCCACAGGGGU
rnacentral:lncRNA from 10 species